CCGGUCAACAGCUGGGGCCUGACCCAGCUGGACCCACUACAGGGUGACAGGCUGUUUGGGAAACAAUUUCUCUCCAGAGUCAGCAGGACUGGCCUGGGAGAGGAGGGCCAGCCAUGGUCUCCGCACACAAAGAAGUGACAGUCCUGAGCAGAGCCACUAGAAUGAGCAAGUGGAGAGCAAGUUAGAGUGAAGAGUGGAGGUGAGAGGAAGUGGGCUGCCUGCCAUCCUGAGAAAGAAAAGGGGAGCUGGCAGCCUAACCCAGCUCCCUCCAGAGAGCUCUCUGAUUAGAGCAAAAAAGCAAAACCUCACCAUCUCCUGCAAGCACUGGGAAAGCUCCCUUCAGAGUCAGGGCUGAAAAUUCACAGGACGCUUGCCGAGUGGGACUCCAGGUUUGAGAAAGUCUGAUUCCUGGGAGCACCGUGGGCAACUCAGUGCCUCCUCCUGGGCUCUGAUGUUCUCACCUGUAUCAGUGCAGUGGGAUAAAGACUCAGGUUCUCCAACCCCCAGCACAGUGCCUGUGGUCCAGGUGCCAGGUGUCUGACCUGAGAGGAUGCUCCUCCAUCAUCCUUCCUGGUGAAUGAGAAUGAUCACAAUGGGAAUGAAGCCUAAUGUUAUUCCUCAAACAAUGGGAGCAUCCUGGAGGCCUAGAAAGAUGCAGACAUUUGUUUUUAAUGUAAUGUUAGCAUGGCCAGAGCUCGGUUUCAUAUUUUAUGUCCUACUCGAUCAUUAUCAAUAGCUAAUGUAGUGAAUGCUUUCUAAUGGAAGGCCCUGUGCUUAGCAUUUACAUGAAUAUUUCUCUGAACCAUCACAAUUUAAUUUCAUAGCAUUAAUUAUAAUUUUAAGCAGAAGGUUUCAAGAUGUUGGUGACCAAGAUGUUAAAAUGUUUCUGUGCAACACAUUUCCCACAACCUGCUGUAAACUAAGUACUGUAUAAUUAUAGUGCUGAGCAUAUACUAGGUUAUUCUAGGAUGUCAAGGUCACACUUGCCCCGGAGAUUUCUGGCUCUGAACCUCAUGCACCUGUUUUGCGAUCUAUAAAGAGGAGUGUUUCCCCAUCUGUUUUGUCUCCCUCAUUUGAGUGAGCUGAGAAUCCAC
ensembl:lncRNA